CAGCAGGGACUUCUCUGUUCAUCUCCUCUGACCUCCUGCAUAUAACAUAAGCAUGGGAUACCAAAACUGCAUAAUUCAUCACAGAUCCUUACUGCAGAUUUAAUUACACUAAAUCCUUUGGCCUGAGCAGUGUGAAGCCUUCUCUAAGAAACAUGGAAUGGCUUCACUUGGAAGACACCUUAAAGAUCAUCCAGUUCCAACUUCCCUGCCAUGGACAGGGACACCUUCCACUGUCCCAGGUUGC